rnacentral:lncRNA from 1 species
UUCCAGGACUGACAGAAGAAACAGCAGGAACCAAUGCUCCGCUGGGCGAGGUGGACUCCAGGAUGUCAGAAUGUGACGCUUCACACAGAUUUUCACGGUAGUGUCUGAGCAGACCUGUGGGUGAGUGUGACAGCUGGUUUCUCCACAUCAUGGAUUGGUCAGAGAUAUCUGGAGAUGCUCAUUUCA